ACAGAAGACAUAAGUCAGUUUUUUGUUUUUUUUUAACAUUACCGGUACAUUCCACGCAAGAUUUACAUGUCAGCUCAAAGUACGAUAAGAACGAUUGCUUAUUCAAGCAGUUUCUAGCUGGUCAGUUGUUUGUGCAACCCGAUGGGGGAAGGCUUCCUUCGAGAGCUUACUUGUUCUGCUUUUUUGACAUGCUGCUUGCACUCAUCCAAGAUGUCCAGCUCACAAUGUACACCAAUACUGUAUACUCUAUUGAAGUUCAAAUUUCUAGUGUAAUUAUUAUUAUUAUUUUUUGCACGUUCUGUAUCUUCAUCAGUAUGAAAUUUGGGCCUGUUAAACACAAAGCUGCUAUUCUGUUGUAUGAAUGGCAGUAGUCAUCAUUUCGCGAUGCAUACCAUACAUCUCUCGCAGCACAUAAGACUUAACACUUAAGGCUGAUGUCCAGGUUUACUUUUCUACAUUCUCAAGGGCCAAAAAAUGGUUCACUGUAAAAGUCGAGUGUAGGUGAGCAGUUCUUUUGAGGAUAACUACAAAAGUCACGUUACGAUAUGCUAUUUCACAGAUUUUUAAACAUUUUCCACAAAACAAAGAACAUUACUACAGUACAUCUUAACAACAAAUUGAUCUUGAAUUUAGGGGUCAUGAUAAAGUGUUUAGAAAAUAUUUUAUUUAAGUCUAGAACUAUAGUCCAUUUUAUGUUCAAAUGGGAUUUGGUGAAUGUAAAUACUUGUUAAAGUGGUUCAAGAAAAUGGUUCAACAACAGAAACUGACACUUUAGGUGCAUAUCCCCCCCCCCCCCCCCCCCCCACACACACACACACGCACACACAAAAGAAGAAAACAUUUGGUUUAGCAGGCCACAUGAACUGAUGUGGCAGUUUGGUUUUGGCCUCCUUUCUUUGAGUUGGAUUCUCAAGUUGGUAGCUGGCAGAACAAGGAAGUCGCAUUACUACACAGUAAGCAGCUAAGCUGGGAACAAGUCAACUGACAAAGGAGAUAAAGCUAUAUUAGACUGAGCUUGGCCUGGCCUCAGACUGUUUAAGCCCCUUGACCGCCCAAGGGAUUUGCUCUCCUUCAAAUUCAAGGUGG